GCCCGGCUAGCUCAGUCGGUAGAGCAUGAGACUCUUAAUCUCAGGGUCGUGGGUCGAGCCACACUUUGGGCG
rfam:Danio rerio chromosome 4, GRCz11 reference primary assembly.